rnacentral:rRNA from 1 species
GUCUAUGGCCAUACCACCCUGAAUGCGCCCGAUCUCGUCUGAUCUCGGAAGCUAAGCAGGGUCGGGCCUGGUUAGUACUUGGAUGGGAGACCACCUGGGAAUACCGGCUGCAGUAGGCU